GCAGUAGCCACGGGAAUACGGAGGAUCCAAGCGUUAUCCGGAAUCAUUGGGUUUAAAGGGUCCGUAGGCGGUCUUGUAAGUCAGUGGUGAAAGCCCAUCGCUCAACGGUGGAACGGCCAUUGAUACUGCAGGACUUGAAUUAUUGGGAAGUAACUAGAAUAUGUAGUGUAGCGGUGAAAUGCUUAGAGAUUACAUGGAAUACCAAUUGCGAAGGCAGGUUACUACCAAUUGAUUGACGCUGAUGGACGAAAGCGUGGGUAGCGAACAGGAUUAGAUACCCGAGUAGUCCCUGUCUCUUAUAC
rnacentral:rRNA from 1 species